AUACGGAGGGUGCAAGCGUUAAUCGGAAUUACUGGGCGUAAAGCGUUCGUAGGCGGUUUGUUAAGUUAGAUGUGAAAGCCCCGGGCUCAACCUGGGAACUGCAUUUAAAACUGGCAAACUCGAGUUUAGGAGAGGGAAGUGGAAUUUCAGGUGUAGCAGUGAAAUGCGUAGAGAUCUGAAGGAACACCAGUGGCGAAGGCGACUUCCUGGACUAAAACUGACGCUGAGGAACGAAAGCGUGGGUAGCAAACGGGAUUAGAAACCCCAGUAGUCC
rnacentral:rRNA from 1 species